rnacentral:rRNA from 1 species
GCCAUGUCGCGUGAAGGAAGACGGCCCUACGGGUUGUAAACUUCUUUUGUAAGGGAAUAAAAAGUCUUACGGGAUAAGACGUUGCAGGUACCUUACGAAUAAGGAUCGGCUAACUCCGUGCCAGCAGCCGCGGUAAUACGGAGGAUCCGAGCGUUAUCCGGAUUUAUUGGGUUUAAAGGGUGCGCAGGCGGCAUGUUAAGUCGGCGGUGAAAUUUUGCAGCUCAACUGUAAAAGAGCCUUCGAAACUGGCAAGCUUGAUUGUGGAUGAAGUAGGCGGAAUUUGUGGUGUAGCGGUGAAAUGCAUAGAUAUCACAAAGAACACCGAUUGCGCAGGCAGCUUACUAAACCAUAACUGACGCUCAUGCACGAAGGCGUGGGGAUCAAACAGGAUUAGAUACACUUGCUAAGUCAAGUCA